AAUUACCCAAUUCGCUCACGUGUUGUAGCGUACCGUUGUUACAUUACGUACGAGAGUCAGGACUUUGUCGGAAACAGCGGACGAAAUGUGAGUGAACAGAUACGAUCUCUUUCGACUUGUAUCUUCAUUGAAGCAGGUCAUAAGAUUUCUUUGCUCCUGCAAGAUUCGCAAUUCUGAAAUCCAAAGCUAUUUUCAACUUCAGCGUACUUCAAGGGAGCUUUUCAUCGGUCGUAAGAGCCCUGAUGUUUGGCGAGCCAUUGAAGAAGAAAAAGAGUAAAGGCAAAAAGAGUAAAGGCAAGAACAAGAAAGGCAAAAACCAAGAGAGAGAACAAAGAGCCAUACAGAAGCUGGAGCCAACGACAGAUGUACAUAGCCCUGAUGUUUGGCGAGCCAUUGAAGAA